rnacentral:lncRNA from 1 species
UUGAGAUUCUUUAGUUUAUUUCUUGCUACCUAAAAAUUAUCUUUAUUGCCUUUAUUUGUUUUUAAUUAAACAUAUUCUCUGAACAAAUACUUAUUGAUUGUCUAAUAUAUAUCAGACAUUAAGCUAGAUGCUAAUGAGUCAAUGGUAAACAAGAUGUAAAACCAUCCUCAUGAUGCUGGAGAGGAAACAGACAAGUAAAAGGUAGCACUGGAACAGACAUUUGUGAUAUCACAGUAGGAGUGAGGCAGGGCAUUAGGAAUGCUAUGGACAAUCCCCUCAGAUUGAGAAGUGUGGAGGGCUGACUCUCAGAAAGAGUGGGAUUUAUGUUGAGAACUGAAGAAUGAGUAGGAAAGUUCACUGGGGCAAGAGAAGCUGAACACAAGGUCUAAAGAGGCGAAGGAGGGAUGGAAGGUGGCUGCCUCUGGAAUUCAAGUCAAGCCUGGCAUCCAGCUCUGUACUUCUAAUACCAAUCUGGAAUGGAUGGAGAAUAUUAUAUGGACUUUUUCAUUGACCUACUUUUUAAGGAAUGUAGAGGAGUGGAAAAUGGAGGUUGUUGAUUCUGCCUUAUGGAUGAAAUAUAGAAAACCUUAAACACAUACUUAAUGUAUAUCUGUGAUUUCAUUUUGAUGAAGAAAGACUCAUUGAUUUGGUAAAGUUACUCAGAAAGUGUUUUAACUUGAAGAUUGGACUGCAUUUAUCAUUGAGGAAAGAGUGAAUUUUCUCAAUAAAUCACUAUUAUAAGUCA